rnacentral:rRNA from 1 species
UACAGAGGUCUCAAGCGUUGUUCGGAAUCACUGGGCGUAAAGGGUGCGUAGGCGGCACGGUAAGUCAGAGGUGAAAUCCCGGAGCUCAACUUCGGAAUUGCCUCCGAUACUGCCGUGCUUGAGGACUGGAGAGGAGAUUGGAAUUCACAGUGGAGCAGUGAAAUGCGUAGAUAUUGUGAGGAACACUAGUGGCGAAGGCGAAUCUCUGGACAGUUCCUGACGCUGAGGCGCGAAAGCGUGGGGAGCAAACAGG